rnacentral:rRNA from 1 species
AGCGAACGCUGGCGGCAGGCCUAACACAUGCAAGUCGAACGAACCUUUCGGGGUUAGUGGCGUACGGGUGAGUAACACGUGGGAACGUGCCUUUAGGUUCGGAAUAACUCAGGGAAACUUGUGCUAAUACCGAAUGUGCCCUUCGGGGGAAAGAUUAAUCGCCUUUAGAGCGGCCCGCGUCUGAUUAGCUAGUUGGUUGAGGUAAUGGCUCACCAAGGCGACGAUCAGUAGCUGGUCUGAGAGGAUGAUCAGCCACAUUGGGACUGAGACACGGCCCAAACUCCUACGGGAGGCAGCAGUGGGGAAUCUUGCGCAAUGGGCGAAAGCCUGACGCAGCCAUGCCGCGUGAAUGAUGAAGGUCUUAGGAUUGUAAAAUUCUUUCACCGGGGACGAUAAUGACGGUACCCGGAGAAGAAGCCCCGGCUAACUUCGUG